rnacentral:rRNA from 1 species
UACGUAGGUGGCAAGCGCUGUCCGGAUUUACUGGGCGUAAAGAGCGCGCAGGCGGUCGUGCAAGUCGCGUGUGAAAGCCCCCGGCUCAACUGGGGAGGGUCACGCGAUACUGCUCGACUCGAAGGCAGGAGAGGGAAGUGGAAUUCCCGGUGUAGUGGUGAAAUGCGUAGAUAUCGGGAGGAACACCAGUGGCGAAGGCGACUUCCUGGCCUGUUCUUGACGCUGAGGCGCGAAAGCCAGGGGAGCAAACGGG